UUUGGAAACAGAUGCUAAUACCGCAUAACAACAAAAGCCACAUGGCUUUUGUUUGAAAGAUGGCUUUGGCUAUCACUCUGGGAUGGACCUGCGGUGCAUUAGCUAGUUGGUAAGGUAAUGGCUUACCAAGGCGAUGAUGCAUAGCCGAGUUGAGAGACUGAUCGGCCACAAUGGAACUGAGACACGGUCCAUACUCCUACGGGAGGCAGCAGUAGGGAAUCUUCCACAAUGGGCGCA
rnacentral:rRNA from 1 species